rnacentral:rRNA from 1 species
ACGGGGGGGGCAAGCGUUGUUCGGAAUUACUGGGCGUAAAGGGCUCGUAGGCGGCCAACUAAGUCAGACGUGAAAUCCCUCGGCUUAACCGGGGAACUGCGUCUGAUACUGGAUGGCUGGAGUUUGGGAGAGGGAUGCGGAAUUCCAGGUGUAGCGGUGAAAUGCGUAGAUAUCUGGAGGAACACCGGUGGCGAAGGCGGCAUCCUGGACCAAUUCUGACGCUGAGGCACGAAAGCGUGGGUAGCAAACAGGA